UACAGAGGGUGCGAGCGUUGUCCGGAAUCACUGGGCGUAAAGGGCGCGUAGGUGGCGCCGCAAGUCCAUGGUGAAAGCUCGAUGCUCAACAUCGAGUCGGCCACGGAGACUGCGGGGCUCGAGCGACUGUAGGGGCAGAUGGAAUUCCGGGUGUAGCAGUGGAAUGCGUAGAGAUCCGGAAGAACACCGGUGGCGAAGGCGGUCUGCUGGGCAGUUGCUGACACUGAGGCGCGACAGCGUGGGGGAGCAAACAGGAUUAGAAAACCCUUG
rnacentral:rRNA from 1 species